rnacentral:rRNA from 1 species
AGAGUUUGAUCAUGGCUCAGAACGAACGCUGGCGGCAUGCCUAACACAUGCAAGUCGAACGCUAUUUAUAGAGUGGCGCACGGGUGAGUAACGCGUGGGAACCUGCCUUUUUCUGCGGGAUAACGGUUGGAAACGACCGCUAAUACCGCAUACGCCCUACGGGGGAAAGGUCCGCCGGAGAAAGAGGGGCCCGCGUCUGAUUAGCUAGUUGGUAGGGUAAUGGCCUACCAAGGCGACGAUCAGUAGCUGGUCUGAGAGGAUGAUCAGCCACACUGGGACUGAGACACGGCCCAGACUCCUACGGGAGGCAGCAGUGGGGAAUAUUGGACAAUGGGGGCAACCCUGAUCCAGCAAUGCCGCGUGUGUGAUGAAGGCCUUAGGGUUGUAAAGCACUUUCACUGGUGAAGAUGAUGACGGUAACCAGAGAAGAAGCCCCGGCUAACUUCGUGCCAGCAGCCGCGGUAAUACGAAGGGGGCGAGCGUUGUUCGGAAUUACUGGGCGUAAAGGGCGCGUAGGCGGUCUUUUAAGUUAGGCGUGAAAGCCCCGGGCUCAACCUGGGAACUGCGCUUAAUACUGGAAGACUA